rnacentral:rRNA from 1 species
CCUACGGGUGGCAGCAGUCGAGAAUUAUUCACAAUGGGGGAAACCCUGAUGGUGCGACGCCGCGUGGGGGAAUGAAGGUCUUCGGAUUGUAAACCCCUGUCAUGUGGGAGCAAAUUAAAAAGAUAGUACCACAAGAGGAAGAGACGGCUAACUCUGUGCCAGCAGCCGCGGUAAUACAGAGGUCUCAAGCGUUGUUCGGAAUAACUGGGCGUAAAGGGUGCGUAGGCUGUUUCGUAAGUCGUGUGUGAAAGGCGCGGGCUCAACCCGCGGACGGCACAUGAUACUGCGAGACUAGAGUAAUGGAGGGGGAACCGGAAUUCUCGGUGUAGCAGUGAAAUGCGUAGAUAUCGAGAGGAACACUCGUGGCGAAGGCGGGUUCCUGGACAUUAACUGACGCUGAGGCACGAAGGCCAGGGGAGCGAAAGGGAUUAGAUACCCUAGUAGUC